rnacentral:rRNA from 1 species
GAUGAACGCUAGCGGCAGGCCUAACACAUGCAAGUCGAGGGGCAGCACAUAAAGUGGUUUACUACUUUUGGUGGCGACCGGCGGACGGGUGCGUAACGCGUAUGCAACCUGCCUCCAACAGGGGGAUAACGGAGAGAAAUUUCCACUAAUACCCCAUAAUAUCAGAAUCGGCAUCGGUUUUGGUUGAAAACUCCGGUGGUUGGAGAUGGGCAUGCGUUGUAUUAGAUAGUUGGUGAGGUAACGGCUCACCAAGUCAACGAUACAUAGGGGGACUGAGAGGUUAGCCCCCACACUGGUACUGAGACACGGACCAGACUCCUACGGGAGGCAGCAGGGAGGAAUAUUGGUCAAUGGGGGCAACCCUGAACCAGCCAUGCCGCGUGCAGGAAGACGGCUCUAUGAGUUGUAAACUGCUUUUACAAGGGGAUAAAUCGGUGUACGUGUACACCGUUGAAGGUACCUUGGGAAUAAGGAUCGGCUAACUCCGUGCCAGCCGCCGCAGUAA